GGGGGAUGACCGGCGGUUCUGUUAGGCCGCUUUUGCCGGAGGCAGGGCGGCGGCGGCCUUGGGGCAGAUGGUCGUUCGGGUCGACCAUCCUCUA
rnacentral:tRNA from 1 species